AACGAACGCUGGCGGCAUGCCUAACACAUGCAAGUCGAACGAGACCAUCGGGAGUAGUGGCGCACGGGUGCGUCACGCGUGGGAACCUGCCCUUAGGUUUGGAAUAACUCUCCGACAGGGGUGCUAACACCGGAUAAUGUCUUCUGACCAAAGAUUUAUCGCCCUUGGAUGCGCCGGCGUUGCAUUAGCUUGUUGGUAGGGUAAAAGCCUACCAAGGCGACGAUACAUAGCUGGUCAGAGAGGAAGGUCAGCGACACUGGGACUAGGACGCGGCCCAGAAUCUUACGGAAGGGGGCAAUGGGGGAUAGAGGACAAUGGGCUGAGGGCUGAUCCAGCUAGGCCGCGUAAGUGAUGAAGGCCUGAGGGAUGUAAAGCUCGUUUACCCGGGAUGAUAAUGACGGUACCGGAAGAAUAAGCACCGGCUAACUCCGUG
rnacentral:rRNA from 1 species